ensembl:lncRNA
GGGCAUCAGAAUCACCGGGGAUCUUGACAGACUGUGGGUCUUAGCAGGUCUGGGUUGGUGCCCAGGGUUCUGAAUAUUUAGCAAACUCUCAGGUGAUACUUUAGGGUAGGAAAUACUCUGGCAAAUUCCUUAAACUCAGAGCCUUCUCUGAAGCUGGAUUCCUCUGAGAAUUAAGUGGGAGAAUGUUUGUAAGGGAGUGUUUUAAAAGCCGUUGUUUCCUGCGUUCCCUGACCGUCUCCACUCCCCAGUGGUGCACCUUCCCUGUCUGUGCUUACCCAUCGCUAGCAGGGCUCCUGGCAUCUCCUAGGGCCUUAAUGUUUGUUUAGUGGUGAGGGAAUGACCCGUGGAGGAAUUAACUGGGUUUUUGUGUUACUCAGAUGAACAUAAAAUUAAGACUGCCACUUUUGUUUUUUCCUUCUUUAGGAAUGCUUUAAGAUGACCAUUAAAUCUAAGCCCUAAGUGACAGACCCAGGUGUUGGACUCUGAGCUCAUUUCUGUAUACUUCGUCCUGUGGCCGUUAACUGUAGGCUCUAUUGCCAGAAGUCAACACUCAUUGACCAUUUUCAAGUACAACUUUGUAGACUAUUUCCAGUAGUUUUUUGUUGAAAACCAUUUCUUGUAGCAAGUGUCAAAUGGUAAUUCUUGUGAACUAUUUGAAAGUAUUGAUACUGCGUUUGGUUUAAGGAGAAAUUAGAAGUGAUCAGAACAGUGGUUCUCAAAACUUGUGGGAUUUGCUCUCACCUGGAGAACUUUUUAAAAGGUAAGUUUCUGAUUUGGUCCACCUAGCACAUAGGGCCCAAGUAUAUGCAUUCUGACAAGUUCCCAGCUGAUGAUGCUUUUGCCUUGACCACUGCACUAGGAGGAUUCCCUUCUGUUGAUUUGCUGUCCUUUGGUACUCCAAACUAGAACCUGAUUGGAUGGCCAAGAAGUCAGGCCUGUGCAUCUUGUUAAAGUGAAGACCUUAACACCAGCGGCAGGCAGCAGCUGUGCUGUUUCGCUGUAGAUAAUUUGAGGAGGCCCCUAAGGCUGGGCAUUAAUCUGCUCAGUGCUUCUCCCACACAGGUAAGGCAAGCUUUGAAUAGGUACCAGAAACCAUUGUUUCCUGUCCUUGAGCAUUUGCUUUUGAAGGAAGGGUUUUAAUUGCUGAUUCUGCAAGUGUUCUGUGUAUAUUUAGUAUAAAAGUAAAAAAACUUAGUCGUUGUUUUAUUAAGUUUGUGAAAACAAAACACCAAAUUUGAACCAACAUACAACAUAUAGCAAAAAGUACACGAAAACAUCUUUGAAAGAAAGAAACAGAUAGGUUUCUAGACCAGUCCCAGACUGCCCGUGGCUGAGCUUUCUCCGUCUUAACUUGGGUUGGCUGUAAACUUGAAGGAUGGGUUGGAUCAAUGUUCGCACAGGCCUCACUGUUUUUCCUAGCCAGGUGUCUACUGUUAUUUAAUGUUUGUCUUUAGACUGCUUCCAGUUUUUGUUUUUUUGUUGCUGUUUUAUUACCAACAAAGCUGCAAGGAAUGUCUUUGUGCAUUUAUCUUCACGUACUUGUGUUUCCUUAGGAUAAAUUUUAAGAGGUAGAAUUACUGUGUCAAAGUGAUGUAAGGGUAGAUAGAUAGUACCAAUUUGCCUCCAAAAUAUUGUAGUUAUCUACUCCAACCAGUGUUGAGAGGAAACUCCUAUUUCGGGAACUGUCUCAUAAUUGUCAUUUUAUUAGCAUUUACCCCAGCCCCUAACUUGCUAACAGUGUUGCACAUAGUCAUUAACUUUUUAGAAAUAUUAAUGUGAAUUAAGUGGUUUUAAACUGGAUAAUUUCCACUUUCUACUUCUUAAAAUUCUACAGUCAAGAUGUACAGGAUUGUUCCAGCUUAUCAGUACAGAACUGAAAUCAUUCAAGUUCACACACUCCCACCCAGCCUUGUGCUACUAAUUUGUGAAUGGAAAGAUACUCCUCCUUCAACACACUAUACCACCAGGUGCCAGAAACUUGUGAACUAUAAAUCAAUGACUAGGCAAUGACUGCCCCCAUGCCAGGUUUGUGCAAAGAACUCGCAUAAUUGUAAGCACAGCCCUGCGCUGCUUCUGUGGUUCUUAAUUAUGGUCUACUAUCAUUGGAAAAUACAAAGUAGUAAUCCUAAAAUGAUAAUUAACAUUUAUUGAGCACUUAUGUGUCAGGUACUAUUGACUUUCAGUCUAACUACCCUUUCUAACAAACACUACUAUGCUGACUUUACCCAAGAGGAAACUGAUGCACAGAGAGGUCAAGGAAUCUUGUCAGUGCCAUUCAAAUCAUUCAGAAUGCCUCUAAUGCCAGUACUGUAUUCUGAAAAGUGCAAGCUACUCUAUGUUGAAACUUUUUUUUGUGUGUGUGUGAGGAAGAGUGACCCUAAGCUAACAUCUGUGCCAAUCCUCCUCUACUUAGUAUAUGGGAUGCUGCCUCAGCUUGGCUUGAUGAACAGUGUGUAGGUUCAUGCCUGGGAUCUGAACCUGCAAACCCCGGGGCUGCCAGAGUGGAGUGUGUGAAUUUAACCACUAGGCCAGCUCCUGGAACAUUUCUUAAUAGCAUAAUAAAGAUAAUUGGAACCUUGUGGAAACAUGUGGUGGGUAUAUGGAUAUUCAUCCUAUUAUUUUCUUUAUGUGCUUGAAAAGAUCUUAUUUAAGUCUUAUUUUUUAAAGUAAUAACAUGCUAUUUUUAACUCUGAGUUCUUUAUCUCUGAAAACUAAGUUAAAGCUUGACAACAUUCUUGGUCAACCAGCAUUUGGGGACCCCACUCUGGGCCAGGAGAACUCAAGGAAGCAGAAGCUGCCGCAGCUGCAGCCCUCAGGGAGUUCACGAGGUGGGGCUCAAAGCUCAGCUCCUGAUGCAGGAGGUCCUGUUCUCGGAGUCCUUUCUUGCUUGAGGAAGGGGGAAUGUGGGGAUGCACCAAGCGGGGAUCCCCAUAGGAGAUAAGCAGUACGGAAAUGAUGAAGACAAAAGUGCAAAGUGGAAUUUGAGUUUAUGGGGGAGAAAUCUCUCUCCCUUGCUCUCUUAACCACAAGAUACCACACAGUGAAGAAAACAAGAAACAGUAGCAGAGAAAUGCCCAUUGGCAGAUUAACAGAGUUGUAAGUACAGCUGCAUCCUGUUGUACCCCACAUCCCCACCCUAAAACUCUUGUCCAGCCUCCUUUGAGCUUGGGUAAUUUGAUCCUCACCUGGAGAGCCACUCUAGGCCAUAGAAGCAUAGGGAAGCUGUCAUGUGGUUCUUGGGGCCACCAAACCUCCCGCCUUACUAACCUGAGCCAAGAAGCAGAGAAGGCCUUGGUUUCUAGCAGGGAUAAAUGUGCCUGACUCCAGGAAAAGACUUGCUCAGACCACAAAUGCAUCUAUUUAUAUCUCGUAAUCUGCUGGGCCAGCAACAUGCUAAUAACCAGCUGGGCACGAUGGAGAGGCCACAGGCCAACUGUCAGAAUGGCGAGAGCCCUGCACUCGUGGUCAGAGAAAAUAACAGACGUGGAAGCGCUGCAUCAGCCAAAAAGCGGCAUAUGAAGUAUUCCAGCUGUUGUUACUGUGAGCUGGUUUCACCACCUACUGGUUUAUGUCCUUGGACAAGUCAACCUGUCUGAGCCUCAGUUUCUUCAUCUAUAAAAUGGAAACAGUAACUCUCUGUUUAUCUUAUAGGGCUCUUGGAAACUCAGAUGACAUAAUUUAUGCAAAAAUUCCCUGUAAACUGAGCAAAUGUAAAGUAGUAUUACUGAUAUCUGUUCUACUUAAAAACAGGACGAGCAAAGAGUGAUGGAUUCCAGGGCAGAAGUCAGUGGAGAGCAGCUGGUGUAACCUUGGACACCAUCCUAGAGGAAGUCUUGGUAACAGCCACAUUUUCAAAGAGAUCAUGAGGAGUGCAUGAUUUUGUUAGCCUUGUGGUUUCACCAGCGUGAUCACCAGGCCUUUUCUGGGAAAGAACACAGUGGGAAGUGGAAACUGUAAAUGGACACGCUCCUUGGGAGUCCUCAGUCCCCCACACAGGCCCCCCUGUCAGCCCCUGACUAGUCUUCACACUUCAGGCUAGGAAAUCACCCCACGGUUUUGAAGAGAAACGUGAUGUUGGUGAAAUGCCAGAUUGGAAACCAAAGGCUUGUGGGUGGCCCAGCAGCACCACAGCCAGAAGGAGACUCCAAACUGGGCUAGAAGAGAGAAACAAUUGGUAAGGCCAAGGAGACCAUAGUCGGAGUCGGGUCUGAGGACGAAGAGAGUCCCCACAUGGGAAAAAAGUCCUGGGGUCAGAAUGGAAAUGAGUGGACAAGAAACAAAGUGGGAGGAGGUGAGAGCAAGCAAUUUUGGCGAGGUGCCGCGAGCAGCAUCUCCUGGGCCUCCUUCCCACACGGAUAGUACACGCGCCUCAGAACUCACAGCGCCCACGAUCCUACCACUCAGAGGUAACAGCUGUUAGAACUCUGGUGUGUGUCCUUCCAGUAUGUGUCUACCAACAUGCAUAUGUAUGAAUUUUAUAUACUCAGUAUUGCCAUUUGGAUGUCUCAUGGGCAACUCAGAUUCACCAUGUGCCAAAAACAUUUCGUCAUCUUCUUUAAACCUGCUUUACUGACACCCACGGCCCGUUUCAAAACCUCGGAGCUCCCGACCCUGCAUCUCCCUCACCACCAUCCCGUGGAUCUGCAACUCUCCUCGUUCCCUCUUCUCUUCCAGAAGUCAGAACACUCACACUCUGACCCGUUCUUUCCAAAAUCUCAGUCUGAUUCUUAAGCAAGUAUAAGACAUAUUUCUUUCUAAACAGAGUCUUUACAUUUGCAUAACUAACCACUAGGCUCCCCAGUCCAGAGUGAGCAGUGUCUCUGCAGCUAAUAGUCUGCUACCUGCUGGACAUCUAGAAGUUGUCAUUGUCGGGGAAAUCAGUAAAAGCUGGUGCAGAGCCAGAGAUGGCUUCCCUGUGAAGUCAGGCGUCUGCACUUGGGAGUUGAAGGGGUGCAGCCUAGCCCCCAAAUGCGUGGGUGAUGGAGGUGGCUGACGCUGAGUAAACCGGUAAUUCAGAAUCUAAGGACUAUUUGGAAGUGGGUAAUUAAUCUCAAUAACACUGGCGCCUUCUGACAGUCGGAGAAACUGUAGAGAGAGGAGGCAUUCCUGGAUGACAGGCACACUCACUCUGCUGUAACGAGGAGCACUUACUCAGCACUUCGGUGCAGCAGGCGUAGUGCUAAGAGCUUGGUCCUCAUGAUCUCUCUGACUCCUGGCACCACUCUGAAUGAGACAGGUGUAUCAAGAGGAAAGGGAGGCUUAGAGACCGCGUUCAGUAAUUUGUCUAAGGCCACAUAGCUAGAAAGUACAGGGCUGGGUUUGGAUCCCAGGCUGUCUGACUUCAGAGUCCUAACUCUUAAGGCGUUUGGCCCCUGCUGUCCAUACCCGAGAUUCCACAGUGAGGACCAGGGUCAGAGACAAGAGGAGCUUGCCCAGGAGGGCAACCCUCCAUGGUCUUGUGAAAGCUAGGGCCUGGGGGCAAACCCCACCCCAAAGAGAGUGAAAUUCCUCAUGUUGAACUGUUUUCCCAAAGCUUCUGCGCUUGGGCUAAGGCCCGAAACAGACAGAGACGUCCACAGCAGAACGAGCCAGCGCGAGCAGCUGGAGAGACUGGGUGGGGAGUUAGCGACCCCGGGAAUGAGGCCAGCAGUCUGCCAGUGACCCCAGCUCCUGUGUCCACUGCUGUCAGUGCAAGUUCUUCACCUGCUGCUCAUCUCCUAACUAAUGAUCCUUAUGCAGAAUUAACAGACCAUUUGGGAUCCCAAAAAAUACUCUCAUCACAUAUGGCACUCCCUUCAACAACAUAUUGCCUUUGCAAGUUUCCAAAAUGCCUGACGAUCAGUUAUACAUUCAUUCAGCAACUACUUAUUGAGCACUAAUUAUGUUUCAGGCACUGUGUCAGACGCCAGGAUGUAGUGGUGAACAAGAAAACGACAGCCUCGGGCCGGCCCGGUAGAGCAGUGGUUAAGUGCACACGUUCCGUUUGGCGGCCCGGGAUUCGCCGGUUCAGAUCCUGGGUGCGGAUACCACACCGCUUGGCAAGCCAUGCUGUGGCAGGCGUCCCACAUAGAAAGCAGAGGAAGAUGGGCACAGAUGUGAGCUCAGGGCCAGUCUUCCUCAGCAAAAAGAGGAGGAUUGGCAGCAGACGUUAGCUCAGGGCUAAUCUUCCUCAAAAAAAAAAAAAAAAAGGAAAAGAAAAGAAAUAAAAGUUUCUGUUUAAAAAAAAAAGAGAGAGAGAAAGAAAACGAGAGCCUCUGUUUUCCCAGCGCCUAGGGGAGAAAGCAGAUGGUCAGUGGGCAACUUACAACAAGGUGUGAGGAAUGAUGUGACGGGAAAGGGGACUCGAGGAAGACAGAGCAAAGAGUCUCUCCAACUGAGAGGUCAGACAAUGUCUCCCUGAGGAAGUAACUUGUAAGCUGAGACCUGAAGAAACAGAUGUUGGCCAAGUGGAGGGGGCGGGGGUACCAGAAAGCAGGCAACCCGGGUAGAGGGAGGGCAGCCUGUGGGAAGGAGGUGGAGAAGCUGCCAGAGGUGAAGGAAGUGAGGUCAGCAGCGGGAAGGGAAAAUGCAGUCCAGGAGAGGUGUUUUUGUUGUUGAUAUUUUUAUUUUACAAGAUAGGAAAGGUCUUACAGAAUGGCAGAGAGAGAAUGAUAAAACAGAUGAGGGUAAAAUACAAUCAACUGGUGAAUUUGAGUAAAGGGUGUAUGGAAAAAGUUACCUCCUCCAAAGAAAAGGGCUCGAUCGAUCGCCCUCGUCCCGCUUGUAACUCUUGAAUGGCUUCCCGUGACUGAAACUGAAAACCCCUUCUCAGGACCUUCAAGGUCCCCGAGAUGUGGCCCCUGCUUAUCUCCCUCGCCUUAUCUCCUUUCCUUCUGUUCUUGGACCAGAGCCUUCCAGCCACGCAGAUCCCCGGGCACGUUCCACUCACUCCUGCCCCAGGGUCUUAGAACUUCUGGUUCUCUGUCUGAAACACUCCUCCUCCAACUCAGGGGCUGAUUCCUCCUUCAGGCUGUGGUACCCAUAUUACCUCCUCUGAGGAGCCUUCCCCACGCCUUUCCACCAUGUCUCUCAUCCCCCACCCAGCACUUUCCAGGAUCUCAGGUCUUUCUUGAGAGUCCCUGUCCGCCUCCUCCAGUAGAUGGUCAGUGCCAGAGAGCAGGAUCUAGUUCAUCUUGUGCAUCACCCUGUCUCCUGCACCUCGUUCGGUAGAAGGGGACGUGCUCAACUAAUUGUUUUUGAGUAAAUAAAUAAGCCAACAAGGAAGGAGGUUGUGGCCAGAGAGCACAUUAGUGCAGGAAGUGGAGCAGUGACCGUGCCGAGGCCGCGUGUGAAAGCGAGGGGGGUCCCUGGCGCAGCAAGUGAUGGCGGAGAAAGGCGGUGUCUAUGAAGUACGGAACGAUGGUGUGGCAGAGGGGGAAAGACGGUUUCCCUUGUUCCCUAUUUCCCUCCUUUCCUUGGAAGCUGGAAAAGGAGCUGCCAGCCAUUAAGGCAUUUGCUUCUGCUCAUCCUUGGAAAUCAUUAAAACUGCAUUUGAAUCCUUGCUGCGCUCCUCCAGUAUAGAAACUGGAAAAUAGCCCAGGAGAGUCAAAAUCCGACUUCGUUUCAUAAACAUGUUUAAAAAGAAAGAAGGAGAGAAAUUGUGGUUAUGACUGAACUGUAGUCAAGCAAUCUCUCAUUUCCAUUGGCUUGGUAUUAAUGGAAGCCUUUUAUCUUCAGAACUUUGUGCUUGUGCUGCCAAGCGGAGGAAGGGACAAUGUGGAAAGCUCGGUCUGCAUAAUCACACACACACGUGCGCGCACACGUCCGCCUGCUCACACACACACACCGGCUGACCACACCCCCCCAACCCCCCAGGUCAGAGCUCCACUGGAAGGCGCACCCCCUGCUUCUCGGAGGCCUCAGGCUAGCGUGAGAAAUCAGUGGGAAAAUGUCCCUUUAGGUGUCAGACCCACAGCUUCUCCAGAAAACAAGGACAGAUGAAUAAAGCCGCAGGCAAGGACAGGCAGCUCCUUGUGCUGCUUAUGAGAAUGUUCUAAAAAUUUCCUCCUAGACGCUUAGCCUGGAGUUCUCAGACGAAACGCUGACACGUUCUGCCCUGACACAGAUUACAAAAUUAAGGGACCCUUUCCCAAGGCAUCUCGCUGUCCCAGGGCCUCUCUGUCUCUUGGGAGGACCACUUAGUUUCGAGGGGGAACAAUUUAUUUGAAAGUGUUUUAUAUAACCUACAGCUCCUUCCAAGGAAUUACUUUUUCUCUCACUUUCUAUAAGUUUGACGAAAAUUUUAAUUUUGGAAUGAUUUUUGAUUUACAGAAAAGUUGCAAAGUGCAGAGCGCCCAUAGACCCCUCAUGGAGUGUCCUCCACUGUUAACAUCUGGUGCUACUAUGGCACGUUUGUCACAACCACAGAACCAACACUGGUCCGUUGCUAUUAACUAAACUCUACACUUUAUUUGGGUUUCGCUGCUUUUCCCCUGAAGUCCUUUUUCCAUUGCAGAGUCCAGCCAGGACACCACUUCCCGUGUAAUCAUCUUGUCUCUUGAGGCUCCUCUCCGCUGUCACCGUUUCUCAAAUUUUCCUUGUUUUUUGAAGACCUUGACAGUUUUGAGGCAUACUGGUCAGACAUUUGUAAAAUCUCCCUCAAAUUAGGAUUGUCUGGUGGCUUCCUCUCGGUUAGAUUGGAGUUGUGGGUUUUGGACAGCGUCCCUCGGAGGUGAGGUGCCCUUCUCAUCGCGUCGAGGUGGAUGGCGGUGCAAGACCUCCCUGGGGAAGUUGACCUCCAUCACUGGGUAGUGCAGUUUGCAGCGUCCUCCCCUAUCAAGCUGGAAUCCAUUUUCCAGGCUCAGGACUGUUAGGUGUGGCCAUGUGACUGUAUUCUGGCCAACGGCAUGUGAGCAGAGUAGCAGGCACGACUUCUAGGUCCCUGAAGACCUCCCAAGCACAAUCCUCACUCUCUGCCAUCGGUUCUCCUGCUGAAGGGAGAGGACUUUAAGGAGAAAAAAAGGAUGGAGCCACAAGGCAGAAAAGGCCUGGGCCCCUGAGUGAUUAUGUGGAGCAGGGCCCCUUCCCCACCUUUCCUACCUCCUUCUCCUCCCCCUCUUUCCUUCCUCUCUCUCUUCUUUCCUACUUCUUCCUUUCUCUUUUCCUUCCUCUCCUCAGUCCUUCCACCAACUCACAAUGGACUGUAAACGAGAAAUAAGCUCUUGUUAUGUUAAACUACUGGCCUUUUGGGUUUAUUUAUUACAACAGCUGGAGUUAUUUGCUUAUCUAACACACAAUGGAGUGUACCUUAGGGGGUAUUUCCCAAACUGAGAUGUCCUACUCCUUUGAGAAACUUUCUCCUGCACAAAUGGGAGUGGGCCUGAACUGUGAAGAAUUAACCUCACCCAAACAGAAGUCUGGUCUUUGCUCUCAGCUACUGGGAGGUGAUCUCCAGGCGUGGAAUGUCCCAUCUGAUGUGAGCGUCCUUGUUUUCCUGGGGUUUUAGCUACUGGACCGUCUAACAGUGUGAUUUAUGAUGAGGGCUUUGGGCCACACGGUAUCAGUUCUGACCUCUGGACUGAAUGGAGACAAAAGAUAUGAGCCCAGCCUCUGGAAGCCAUGGAGACUAAAGGUCAGCCGCACUGGCAGCAUGUCAUGGAGCCCCAGUAAAAACUGGGAGAAGGUUGCCCAUCCACGACUUCACAGGUCACGACCAGAAGCCCCAUAUUUGAACCUCCCUGGACUCUGCCCUACGUGUGUCUUCCCUUGGCUGGUUCCAGUUUGUAGCCAUUCUCUGUAAUAAAACUCACCUGGGAGUGUAUUAGUUUUCAGUGAGUUCUGUGAGUCUUUCUAUUAUUAUUAUUAGCCUUAGGGUGGUUUUGGGAAACUCUGGACUUGCGGUUGCUGUCAGCAGUGAGGACAGUCUUGUGGGGACUCACGGUCUGGGGGACCCUAGGCCAAGCUCUACCGUUAAAUUUAGACUUUGUGACCCUCCGCCUUGGCCAUGGCUUAUUGGACCAGCGGUAGGUGAACACCUGACCCAACAUACGCCAAUCAGAUUCUUUCUUCUGGAAAUUUCGACUAAGAUCUAGUUAGUUUCUGUUAGGUGCUUGAACCAGAAUGUUAGGUAAAUUAAAAUGUAUCUGGUGACUCUCUUCAGUAAGAGCGCAGAGAGGCAGAAGAAGGUAUGGAAAUACAGAGAAAUUAAACAGAGGAGAGACCACAUGGCUCCAGAGAGAUGCAGAGAGAGCAUGAUGGACCAAGUAGCUGUCUUGAUUCCUGACAUCUUUCCAGUUCCUGGUUCCAGUCCCUCCUGAGAUGUUUCCUCGCGGUCUUCAGGCACUUGGUGUUGAAGAGGAGAAGCAUGACGAUGUUUGAUUCCUUUUCUCUGAGCACAGGAGAUGCUGAUCGCGUCGGCAUGGAGACAGCUGAGUGAGAGACACUGGAGCAGAGCAGAGCCCGCUGGGCAGAGCACUGGCCAAGCCUCCUCCACAAUGCAACUGAUAGAGUCUCCGUUUGAAGGAUCCCUCAGAAAUUACAGGUUUAGAAAAUAUCGUUGCUUUUACAAAUAAUCAGAAAGGCACUGAUUUCAGAAGCCACCAUACAUCUCAGCCAGAUGUGCAUGGUCUAAGAACAGAACACACGGGAGAAAAUCAGCGUUGGACUACACAAGAAGACAAACUAAAACAGAAAACACAACUUAGCCGUUUGCAGCUAAGGGUUUCACUGCUUCUAUAAUGAAGAGGAGAUGCAAAUAAAUAUCAGAACCUUGCGCAUAUCAUUUAUGGUUUGUUGCCUAUAGACAUGCUCGUGCUGACCGCAUAGGGGAGCUGUUUUAUCCUGUGGGUUUCAGCCACUUGGUUAGUGGUUUUUCUCUCUUCAUGACGUCUUGCCCUAAGGAAGCACUCCCGUUCCAGCUAAACAUGUGGAUCUGGUGGAACCCACCGGGGACAUUUAAAAUUCCAGCGGCCAAAUGGCUUAUUUACAAAGGGCUUGAGGAGGCUUACAUGAAUGAUAUAAUAAAAUAAAAUAGAAAAAC